rnacentral:misc_RNA from 1 species
GAUGAAGAACGUAGCGAAAUGCGAUACGUAAUGUGAAUUGCAGAAUUCAGUGAAUCAUCGAGUCUUUGAACGCACAUUGCGCCCCCUGGUAUUCCGGGGGGCAUGCCUGUCCGAGCGUCAUUGCUGCCCUCAAGCACGGCUUGUGUGUUGGGCCUCCGUCCUCCUCCCGGGGGACGGGCCCGAAAGGCAGCGGCGGCACCGCGUCCGGUCCUCGAGCGUAUGGGGCUUCGUCACCCGCUCUUGUAGGCCCGGCCGGCGCUUGCCGACACAUCAAUCUUUUUUCCAGGUUGACCUCGGAUCAGGUAGGGAUACCCGCUGAACUUAAGCAUAUCAUAGCGGGGA